rnacentral:rRNA from 1 species
ACCGGCAGCUCAAGUGGUGGCCAUUAUUAUUGGGCCUAAAGCGUUCGUAGCCGGUUUGAUAAGUCUCUGGUGAAAUCCCGCAGCUUAACUGUGGGACUUGCUGGAGAUACUAUCAGACUUGAGGUCGGGAGAGGUUAGGGGUACUCCCAGGGUAGGGGUGAAAUCCUAUAAUCCUGGGAGGAGCACAUGUGGCGAAGGCGCCUCACUGGAAAGAACCUGCCGGUGAGUAACGACAGUCAUGUGCGCGAAUCG